rnacentral:rRNA from 1 species
UACGGGGGGGAGCAAGCGUUGUUCGGAUUUACUGGGCGUAAAGGGCGCGUAGGCGGCGCAACAAGUCACUUGUGAAAUCUCCGGGCUUAACCCGGAGCGGCCAAGUGAUACUGUCGUGCUAGAGUGCGGAAGGGGGCUACUGGAAUUCUCGGUGUAGCGGUGAAAUGCGUAGAUAUCGAGAGGAACACCUGCGGCGAAGGCGGGUAGCUGGGCCGACACUGACGCUGAGGCGCGAAAGCUAGGGGAGCGAACGGG